rnacentral:rRNA from 1 species
AUACAUGCAAGUCGAACGCUUUUCUUUCACCGGAGCUUGCUCCACCGAAAGAAAAAGAGUGGCGAACGGGUGAGUAACACGUGGGUAACCUGCCCAUCAGAAGGGGAUAACACUUGGAAACAGGUGCUAAUACCGUAUAACACUAUUUUCCGCAUGGAAGAAAGUUGAAAGGCGCUUUUGCGUCACUGAUGGAUGGACCCGCGGUGCAUUAGCUAGUUGGUGAGGUAACGGCUCACCAAGGCCACGAUGCAUAGCCGACCUGAGAGGGUGAUCGGCCACACUGGGACUGAGACACGGCCCAGACUCCUACGGGAGGCAGCAGUAGGGAAUCUUCGGCAAUGGACGAAAGUCUGACCGAGCAACGCCGCGUGAGUGAAGAAGGUUUUCGGAUCGUAAAACUCUGUUGUUAGAGAAGAACAAGGAUGAGAGUAGAACGUUCAUCCCUUGACGGUAUCUAACCAGAAAGCCACGGCUAACUACGUGCCAGCAGCCGCGGUAAUACGUAGGUGGCAAGCGUUGUCCGGAUUUAUUGGGCGUAAAGCGAGCGCAGGCGGUUUCUUAAGUCUGAUGUGAAAGCCCCCGGCUCAACCGGGGAGGGUCAUUGGAAACUGGGAGACUUG